CCUGGGAACUGCGUUNUGAACUGGGUGACUAGAGUGUGUCAGAGGGAGGUAGAAUUCCACGUGUAGCAGUGAAAUGCGUAGAGAUGUGGAGGAAUACCGAUGGCGAAGGCAGCCUCCUGGGAUAACACUGACGUUCAUGCCCGAAAGCGUGGGUAGCAAACAGGAUUAGAUACCCUGGUAGUCCACGCCCUAAACGAUGUCGAUUAGCUGUUGGGCAGCAUGACUGCUUAGUAGCGAAGCUAACGCGUGAAAUCGACCGCCUGGGGAGUACGGUCGCAAGAUUAAAACUCAAAGGAAUUGACGGGGACCCGCACAAGCGGUGGAUGAUGUGGAUUAAUUCGAUGCAACGCGAAGAACCUUACCUGGUCUUGACAUGUACGGAACCCUCCAGAGACGGAGGGGUGCCUUCGGGAGCCGUAACACAGGUGCUGCAUGGCUGUCGUCAGCUCGUGUCGUGAGAUGUUGGGUUAAGUCCCGCAACGAGCGCAACCCUUGUCAUUAGUUGCCAUCAUUAAGUUGGGCACUCUAAUGAGACUGCCGGUGACAAGCCGGAGGAAGGUGGGGAUGACGUCAAGUCCUCAUGGCCCUUAUGACCAGGGCUUCACACGUCAUACAAUGGUCGGUACAGAGGGUAGCCAAGCCGCGAGGUGGAGCCAAUCUCACAAAACCGAUCGUAGUCCGGAUUGCACUCUGCAACUCGAGUGCAUGAAGUCGGAAUCGCUAGUAAUCGCAGGUCAGCAUACUGCGGUGAAUACGUUCCCGGGUCUUGUACACACC
rnacentral:rRNA from 1 species